GACGAGCGCUGGCGGCGUGCUUAACACAUGCAAGUCGAACGGAAAGGCCCUGCUUUUGUGGGGUGCUCGAGUGGCGAACGGGUGAGUAACACGUGAGUAACCUGCCCUUGACUUUGGGAUAACUUCAGGAAACUGGGGCUAAUACCGGAUAGGAGCUCCUGCUGCAUGGUGGGGGUUGGAAAGUUUCGGCGGUUGGGGAUGGACUCGCGGCUUAUCAGCUUGUUGGUGGGGUUGUGGCUAACAAAGGCUUUGAAGGGUAGACGGCCUGAGAGGGUGACCGGCCACUUGGGGCGAGAGAGACACCCCAGACCCCCCCGGGGGGGAGGGGGGGGGAAUGUGCCCAGAAGGGCGGAAGCCGGACGGACAAACCCCGGGGGGGGAAGAAAGGCCUUGCGGUGGAAAACCGCUUUCCCCUUGCACGAAGCGUAAGGGCGGGAAAGGGGGAAAAAAACACGGGUAACUUAGGG
rnacentral:rRNA from 1 species